rnacentral:snoRNA from 1 species
AAACCAUGAUUAGGACAUUUUCUCAGCAACACCUGGAAACGCUCCCAAGCUUCAUAAAAGGCUUCAUCAGCACCUUGUCGGAAUGUUGAUAUUUCGAACUUUGCAU